rnacentral:rRNA from 1 species
AUUGAACGCUGGCGGCAGGCCUCACACAUGCAAGUCGAACGAGUGGCGGACGGGUGAGUAAUGUGUGGGAAACUGCCUGAUGGAGGGGGAUAACUACUGGAAACGGUAGCUAACACCGCAUACUCUAGGUUUUGCCCAGAUGGGAUUAGCUGGUAGGUGGGGUAAUGGCUCACCUGGGCGGCGAUCACUAGCUGGUCUGAGUGGAUGACCGGCCACGCUGGAACUGAGCCACGGUCCAGACUCCUACGGGAGGCGGAGGUGGGGAAUAUUGCACAAUGGGCGCAGGCCUGAUGCGGCCAUGCCGGGUGUUUAAAGCAGGCCUUCGGGUUGUAAAGUACUUUCAGCGGGGAGGCGUUACCCGCAGAGGAAGCACCGGCUAACUCCGUGCCAGCAGCCGCGGUAAUAC